AUGAACGCUGGCGGCGUGCCUAAUCCAUGCAAGUCGAGCGAACGGACGAGAAGCUUGCUUUUCUGAUGUUAGCGGCGGACGGGUGAGUAACACGUGGAUAACCUACCUAUAAGACUGGGAUAACUUCGGGAAACCGGAGCUAAUACCGGAUAAUAUUUUGAACCGCAUGGUUCAAAAGUGAAAGACGGUCUUGCUGUCACUUAUAGAUGGAUCCGCGCUGCAUUGGCUAGUUGGUAAGGUAACGGCUUACCAAGGCAACGAUGCAUAGCCGACCUGAGAGGGUGAUCGGCCACACUGGAACUGAGACACGGUCCAGACUCCUACGGGAGGCAGCAGUAGGGAAUCUUCCGCAAUGGGCGAAAGCCUGACGGAGCAACGCCGCGUGAGUGAUGAAGGUCUUCGGAUCGUAAAACUCUGUUAUUAGGGAAGAACAUAUGUGUAAGUAACUGUGCACAUCUUGACGGUACCUAAUCAGAAAGCCACGGCUAACUACGUG
rnacentral:rRNA from 1 species